UUCUGGCUCAGGACGAACGCUGGCGGCGUGCUUAACACAUGCAAGUCGAGCGGGAAACUUCGGUUCCAGCGGCGGACGGGUGAGUAACACGUGGGCAACCUGCCUCACAAUGAGGGAUAGCCUUCCGAAAGGAAGAUUAAUACCUCAUAACACAAGAGAAACGCAUGUUUCUCUUGCCAAAGAAUUUCGUUGUGAGAUGGGCCCGCGGCGCAUUAGCUUGUUGGUGAGGUAACGGCUCACCAAGGCUUCGAUGCGUAGCCGACCUGAGAGGGUGAUCGGCCACAUUGGAACUGAGACACGGUCCAGACUCCUACGGGAGGCAGCAGUGGGGAAUAUUGCACAAUGGAGGAAACUCUGAUGCAGCAAACCGCCGCGUGAGUGAUGAAGGUCUUCGGAUUGUAAAGCUCUGUCUUCUGGGACGAUAAUGACGGUACCAGAGGAGGAAGCCACGGCUAACUACGUGCCAGCCGCUGC
rnacentral:rRNA from 1 species